AGUGAACGCUGGCGGUAGGCCUAACACAUGCAAGUCGAACGGCAGCACAGUAAGAGCUUGCUCUUACGGGUGGCGAGUGGCGGACGGGUGAGGAAUACAUCGGAAUCUACUUUUUCGUGGGGGAUAACGUAGGGAAACUUACGCUAAUACCGCAUACGACCUACGGGUGAAAGCAGGGGAUCUUCGGACCUUGCGCGAUUGAAUGAGCCGAUGUCGGAUUAGCUAGUUGGCGGGGUAAAGGCCCACCAAGGCGACGAUCCGUAGCUGGUCUGAGAGGAUGAGCGGCCCCAGUGGAACUGGGACACGGUCCAGACUCCUACGGGGGGCAGCAGUGGGGAAUAUUGGACAAUGGGCGCAAGCCUGAUCCAGCCAUACCGCGUGGGUGAAGAAGGCCUUCGGGUUGUAAAGCCCUUUUGUUGGGAAAGAAAAGCAGCAGGUUAAUACCCCGCUGUUCUGACGGUACCCAAAGAAUAAGCACCGGCUAACUUCGU
rnacentral:rRNA from 1 species